CUAGGAUUGGCGGAGAACUACAAUUUGCGUGGACAAAGCACAACAAUGGCAGCUAAACAAGCUUUAACUCAGGGCACAGAAAACACAUUUAAUACUGAUGAAAAUGUUCCACCCUGUGAGGACUUGAAGUCUGUUGGUAACAUUCAGGUAGCUUGCAACCCACCCAUCUGCUUUGUAUCUCCUCAAUAUAUUCAGCAUAUAUCUGUUGUUUGUCUAACCCAGUAGAAUAGUAGAAAACACAUGUUUUUGUCAUCAUAAAUAUUUCUAUGCAGAUAUUUAUUAUGUUAUGGGUAAACAAGUAAAUCUUUUUGAAAUUCUCAUUUUAGAAAUUAAAAUAGUUUCAGUGAUAUUUUUCCUCUCUAUGGACACUGAAAGAAAAUGAUGAAACAAGAAAAUGUCAGAAGACAUACUUUUGACAUUACUGCCUUUUUUCAUCCUAACUAACAAUACCUUCAGGUUUUAAAUAAGACAUUAAUCCAGUGAUGUCAUAUGUUUUAUGAUUAUCUUCUUGAUAGCAGGAAAAGGUUGUGACCAAAUAAUGUUGUAACUGCUUUGAUCAAAACUUCUACUUCUUAAAAGCUUUCAACGACUAUGCUAAAAUGGUGGUUUUGUAAUGUUUGUGUUAUCUAAGCUUCAAACGCGCAUGCAACUGCCUUUUGUUACAAAGAUGUUCAUCCUUCGAUUUCAGAUGCUGAGUGGAAAGAAUUAUGUAAAACAGCAGCUGUGCAAAGCUGCCUUUUUGUAUUUGGAGAUGAAGCUAGUGUUCUGAAGGCUAUGGCUGUUAUCAAAACAAAUAAAGGGCAAUUUCCUGCUGACAUCAAAGGUAACGACAUAGCAGUCAUAAUCAUUGACAUGAAGGUAUGUUAAUAACUAAACAUAUAACACGAUUUACCAGAAAUCAAAAUUACUUUACCUAAAAGGGGCC